GACACCUCCCCGCGCGCCUCCCCUCCGACGGGCGCCGGGCCCUCCCCGCACGCCUCCCACCCAACGGGCGCCGAGCCCUCCCCGCGCACCUCCCCGCCGAGGGUUGCUGGCCUCUCCCGCGCGCCUCCCUGCGGGCGUUCACCGGCCCUUCCCCGUGAGUCUCCCAGCCGCCGGGAGCCGGCCCCUCCCCGCGAAGCUCCCAGCCGCCAUCUGCGCCAACUCCACACUCGAACUACAGUUCGUUGUUGGCUAGCUGAAGGUCCAGGUUUGCUAAAAAUUUCCAGUGCAUCUUUAUAUAUUGUUCGGUUCAUCUACUUGCCAAUCAUAAGUCCAAUUUCAGAUAUGAAUGAAGCUCAAACCAAGUUCAAAAAUUAUUUUCUUCAUAAAUGAGUUGUUUUUGGUUAAUUCCUUGUUAUGGACAGUACAAAUGCACACUAUUGUGUGGUACAUCUGUUUAUUGUAAUUGUGGUUUGGUGUUCAGAAGAAGAUAGCAAAAAAGGUUGAUAAAAGAACCCAAAAAUGUUCGGUGGUUCUGGAAGCCCAAAUUUCAGUUCAACAUGCCCUCUAUCAUCAGCUCAUUAAGAACCCCAGAAACGGUUCAAUGUGUGUGUGUUAAAAAAAUAACAAAAAUGGAGGUCCAGAGAUGGCACCGAGAGAAGUUGGGAAAAACGGUUUCAACAUAAUAAAAUAACUGCAAAAUGGUUUUGUAUUUGGGUUAUAAAAUAAUCGUCUCAGUUCAAUGAGUUAAAAUCUUCUUAGAUCAAUUAGUUAAAUCAUCUCAGUUCUACUAUAUUUGCUGUGACAAGAAUGGUUCAAGAUUAGUUAAUCCUUCUUCCACUUCCUCCACAAGAAAAUGAGCUCUAAAGAUUCAGUAUUUCACCUUGCAUAACAACUCAGAGAACUACCUCUACAGACCUAGCUAGUGGGAGCAUCGAAAAUAGAAUGCACAAAACAUCAGGAAAAGAAUUCUGCACCAUUGUAUCAACCCCAAGCCAGCCGGGAUAGUUGAGGAGUUGUGUCGUGGUCGCCUGGUGGUGUCCUUGUCACCGUCCGUCUGCACGCUCGCCGUGAGGGCCAGCAAGAUGCUGCAUGUGCCGACGAAGAUUCCAUAUCUGACUAGCAGCUCGUCGCAUGCCCGUGUGUGCCUUAAUUCUUUCUCAUUAUUAGCACUUGGUUUACCAUCGGUAGGUAGUUUGUCUAAAGUUAUAUGGAUUGCACUGAUGUCCUAGUAGCCUAGUGGUUUGCUUAUGUAUAUUAUGGGAAUUCUUUGGCUCCACUGCAACGCUCUGGCCAGGUGGCAGCAAAGCAAACAGAGAGUGCAAGUGAGAGACGAAGCCUCCUCCGCCUAGGACAUCGGAGAGUUGAACGCCAACAACCAUUUUCUUGUCAGGCUAGCACUCGCUUCGGCGGCAUGGAAGAUGAGUGUGCCCUGUAUGCGGUAAGUCCUGUAGGCUGCAACUAGAUUCCCAAUUUUCCGUGUAUGUAGAUUGGAUGCCAUAUGGUUAUCUACCCGAAAGUUCCAUUGUUGCAUGUUGCGUUACCCCAUUCAGAUUUAGUUAUGAAGCAUGUUGUUGCAACACGAAAAUCACAAUUCAUAAGUUGAAUCCAAUUUUGUCUUCUUCCACUCUCUGGAUACAAAGUUGCAGAAAGGAUGUGAACAUAGUAUACUCCCAUGUUUGUACAACUAAACAUACACUAUGUGUAGUCGUUCACUAUGUGUUUUAUCAUCAGUUCAAAAAUAAUAAUUUGCUUCGUGUCUGCUACUGAAAGUGACACGGUUCAGUCUGCUUCCACCUGUAGUAUGCUACUAAUAGAUGAACAUUGCUUGCUUGUGUACUGAAGUGACUAAUUUCAACCACACUGCUCGUGUACUGACGUUGUUUGCUUGUGUACAUAUGCUUCAUUUUUUGUGCUAGUCCAAGUAUAGUUGUUUAAAAAGUACAAAUGUAUGUCUCCAUAAAAGAAAAGAAAAAGAUUUGUGGCAGCUCAGUAUAAAUAUUGAAAUGUUUAUGUCAGUUCAGCUACAGAAACCAUGCAGGUUCAGUGAUGAUGACACCAUAAGCUCGGACAAGAAAACAAAUAUGAAUUAAAACAAAAAACUUUAAAUUCUGUAAGUUCAAGUGCUCAUCCACACACGGUAAAUUCAAGAUGGUAAAAGUUUAAAAUGGUAAAAGUUCAAGUUGAAAAACAAGAGAAGUCCAGAACAUCGUUGCAAAAAAAAUUCGACUUAAAAAAAGAAAGAAAUUGUGCUUUUACAUUAUUGUGAUUUUGUUUUGUUGCCCUCAACUUGUUCGUUAGAAUGCCUCUAAAACUUGCAGUUGUCUUGAAUUUCCAAUCGAAUGUUGCUCAGCUUCCUCGCAAUUUACCCAAUCUCGUUCUGCUCCAAAGCAUGCUUCAGUUCAACAAAAAGCUCCAGAAAAAAGUUCAGAGUUCACAAGAGUCACUUCAGGUUGGCUCUUUUUAUUCUCCAGUUUGGGAUAAAGCAGGGAGAGGUAAGCAGGUCACUAGGAAAAAUAGUGUUUGUUGGAUGAUUUUUACAUGGCUCAUUGCUCUUUUUCUCUCUUGAUGGUAGUAGUUUGACUGUACAGAAGCUAGUCAUUCGUUUGUAUAUGCAGGUGGAGUUCAACUAUACAGAAAGGUCAUGGUUUCAUGUCUGUACAGAAAACAAGAGGGGCUCCUGUGACGAUCCGCUGCUGGUGGCCGCCUUCCCGUGGUUGAGUUCGGCGUCGUCGCAUGUGUCCCUUGCUGCUGUGGCCGGUCUCCAGGUACACCAUGGUGACUAGCAGCCGUCCAAGUGGAAUGCGGACAUCAGUCCAAGCAGAACUAAGUUUGGGAGAGUGGAGACCUGGAAGAGCACUUUCAGGCGUUGUUGGCCAUGACAAUAAAUAACCAGGAAGAGCACUUUCAAAUAGUCCAGGAGGACAACAACAACAACGAGAAAUAUGCAACGAUGCACUGUACUAACAUUGGCGAAAAGCUAUGAUUUUGUGCUCAUGUUUGUUGUUAUGUCAAUGAGAAACCAGUACUUCUUUUCUUCAGGUUUUGUGUUUUGAUAUGUGAGGGGUAAACAAAUUUUCCUAAAUGUAUGAUGGAUGUCGGAGUUAUUUUUA